GAUGAAGAACGUAGCGAAAUGCGAUAAGUAGUGUGAAUUGCAGAAUUCCGUGAAUCAUCGAAUCUUUGAACGCACAUUGCGCCUUCUGGUAUUCCGGAAGGCAUGCCUGUUCGAGAGUCAUUAACAACCGUUUCGAUCCCUUUCUUUCAGAAAUUACAAAGAGGAAAAGGGUUUGGUUAUGGUGGAGGAGGGAAAGGGAGCGUUUAGCCUGUAAAAAAAGAGGCUGUGUUCCGCCUCCCCCCCAAAAUUGUACAGGCGGUCGUGUGCGCCCACGCAUCGAGGUGUUGUAAAAGCUGCCACGGCACUUAUCACCUGUGCAGUGCGAGAUUGGCCAGCCGGUUUAAAAACCCCUCCAAACAAUCAAAGGUUGACCUCGGAUCAGGUAGGGAUACCCGCUGAACUUAAGCAUAUCAAUAAGCGGAGGA
rnacentral:misc_RNA from 1 species